UGAAAUAGCCUCUCUAGCCUCUCAAGGCUAAC
rnacentral:sRNA from 1 species